UUAAGUUCAGCGGGUAUCCCUACCUGAUCCGAGGUCAACCAUAGAAGAUUGGGGGUUGCUGGCCAGCAUCCGCCGGGACCCUGUAGCGAGGAGAUGUACUACGCUCAGGGCCCGACGGCACCGCCACUGACUUUAGGGCCCGCCGGGGCGGCGGGGCCCAACACCAAGCAGAGCUUGAGGGUUGUAAUGACGCUCGAACA
rnacentral:misc_RNA from 1 species